rnacentral:lncRNA from 1 species
CUGCCCUGGCCACAGGAGAGUAGGGGUGGGGAUUAGUCAGCCGACCGGCCAGCGGCCAGCGUCACAGCUGAGCAUCAGAACAACACAAGAGAACGGCAGCCUGGGAACUCCCUGUUCUCCUUUAAGGAAACCUUGCAGUGGUGGCUUGACAGCAGAACCAGGGAAGAAGCUGGAUGGCCCCUAGAAGAGCUUCCUGACCUCCUCUGCCAAGCUCAUCACAGCCUGUGGACCCAUAAUGAAAUGGCAGGCACAUCCAGAUAUGGCAGAGAUGAGGACAGAGACAAGCCAAGGAAAUGGUGUCUUUAUUUCUUUCACAGAACCACCCCUUCCCAUGCACACCCUGUGACAGAGUUAUCCCCUGCCCUACAGGAAAGACUGGCAGAUCCAGGUCAGCCACACCUUCAGGGCCGCUGCUGGAAGCAGGAGAGUCCCAGCUUCUCUUUCAGGGCACCAGUGCAGCUCAGAGAUCAGAUAGGGGACAUGCACGGCUCCUCUCAGGACAACGGGAGUGAUUCACAAGGAAAACCAGUGAGGAUCCAGUAACAGGCCAGGUCUCUGAGCAGGUCACACUGAGGAAAGCUGUUCUCCAUCUCCCCAGAGCAAGAAUGUAUCAAGCCAGAGAGAAGAAAGCCUUUCUAGAGAGGAGGGGUAUGAGAAGUGAGCCGGGCAGGGAAGCAUGGGAGUCAGGCACUGCGCAGUGCAGAGCCGCUGGAGAAGUGGGACUCCCAGAGUGGAGGCUGAGUCUAAGAUCAGCCACUGGAACUGGUUUGGAGAGUCUCGAGUCUAUGAAAGGACAGAGUAAUCACAAGCAAGAUAAAAGAAGCAAGUUUUUCCUGCCCCAGCCUUUGGAGCAAAGGCCUUGUUCCCCUAAACCCUACUCUUUCCCUCUCCAAGCCUCCUUCUGCGUCCACAGAAAGAAUGACAUCCUGGUGGAUGGGAAGAGGACAAAGCAGGUUACCUUUGGUAUAGAGGUGCCUGACAUUCCAUUAUGGCUUUUAUCUCAGUAAUCUAGGUCUAUAUGAAAUCCUCCAUGGGGGGAGAGGGGGUGCUGGCUGAUGGCUAAACAGUCCUAAAAGGCACUGCCAGGAAAGGCCCUGUUGUUAAGAGUCCCAACAGUGCUACCAAGCCAUGAUGUCCCAAUGACCUGGCCCUUCACUUUUCACAGGGUAUGUGGGAAAUGGGGUGGUUGAGUGAUCUCAGGGCUCAAUGACAGCUCUAAGAGCUGACUGUGACCCAGGAAACUGACCAUGCAGGGCCCCCUCCCUCUUCCCAAGAGAGGGGCUGCAGUGACUCACUGUCUGGGGUGUGGCUCCAGGGUCUAGGUUGGCUCAGCUGCUGACUCACAGGCCUCCCCCCUGUCUUCCCUGACCCUGCCCAGUCGUGCUGGGAGGAAUUUGCCAGUGGACCUGUCUGAUCCCAGCAUAGUUCUCUGAGUCCUCCACCACCUGCCCUUUUGAACCAGAGAUGAUGUCAUGUGUUAGUGUCCCCACCUGGAAGAUGGGUUCAACACCACUUAACAGUACCUCCCAAGGAACCGUCAAAAUUAAGACAAAAUAUACACACUGAGUGGGUGGAGAGAUGGCUCAACAGUUAAGAACACUGGCUGCUCUCCCAUAGGACCUGGGUUCAAGUCCUGGCAUCCACAUGGCAGCUCACAACUGUCUGUAACUCUAGUUCCAGGGGAUUUGACACCCUCACACAGACAUACAGGCAGGCAGAACACCAAUGCACAUAAAAUAAAAAUAAGUUAAUUU